GAUUUUAUGGAAACUAGUCCCAGGCAUAGCAGUGACCUCCCCAGUUGCAAUAGUGCUACAAUAAGCCCAUCCCCCACAUCCAUAAAAUGGGAUAGAACUUGUAGUGUACAGAAGGGACUGACUAUUUCCUCCCACCACCUGCACCAACUGCCAAUCAACUGCCAGCAAAAGGCAGCCUAUCUCCUGAAGAAUUGAAUUGGGACAAACUUGUGGAGAAGGGGCUCACCAUUACCCUCCAACACCGACACCAACCGUCAGCCAACUGCCACUUCUGAGGGAAAGAAUAUGGGCCUAGCUGAAACCCUCAGAAUUUCAAAGCACCAGCUCAACAAAAAUGAUACAUGAGGCAACAUGCAUUAGGCUGCUGAAAGCACCGCGUCCUUGGUCACCACCUUCUUUCAGACCAUGGUGGAGAUAGCUAAAUUACCUUCUGCCAAGAAUCCCAGCAAUUGCUGCCCCCUCAGAACAUUGACCCUAUGUUGAAUAUGGACUCCAGUCAUCAUCCAAGGAAAUAAGUCUUAUCAAGAUGUGAACUUGACAGAUCCUUAAGUGUUUGCCUUUCUAAGUAAUUUAUAGCUAUUAAAAUCCUGAAAAUAAAGUUCUUAGCAUAAGAAAUUGAAUGUUGAAAUGGGCUUUAGAGGUCAUCAAGUUCAAAUUGCUACCCAUUUUGCAGAGAAGCAGAGAUAGUAAUUUCAUUGGUUCAUUUGAAUUUUAUGAGUCUGUCUCUUCAAAGUAUUUCAUUAGUGAAUUAUACAAGGCCACAAGAAAAUAUUACAAAUUUCACUCCUAUUGGUAUAACAAAAUGUGGUGUUAAAAAUGCAUUGUUCUAUUAAACUUUGGAAAAUCACAUUA